rnacentral:rRNA from 1 species
GACGAACGCUGGCGGCGUGCUUAGCACAUGCAAGUCGAACGGUAAGGCCCUUCGGGGUACACGAGUGGUGAACGGGUGAGUAACACGUGGGUGAUCUGCCCUGCACUUCGGGAUAAGCCUGGGAAACUGGGUCUAAUACCGGAUAGGACCCUGGGAUGCAUGUCCUGGGGUGGAAAGCUUUUGCGGUGUGGGAUGGGCCCGCGGCCUAUCAGCUUGUUGGUGGGGUGAUGGCCUACCAAGGGGACGACGGGUAGCCGGCCUGAGAGGGUGACCGGCCACCAUGGGACGGAGAUACGGCCCAGACUCCUACGGGAGGCAGCAGUGGGGAAUAUUGCUCAAUGGGCGCAAGCCUGAUGCAGCGACGCCGCGUGAGGGAUGACGGCCUUCGGGUUGUAAACCUCUUUCAGCACCGACGAAGCGCAAGUGACGGUAGGUGCAGAAGAAGGACCGGCCAACUACGUGCCAGCAGCCGCCGUAA